AGUGUGGUGAAGACAUAACUUCCACUGUCCUUUCUGAGUGGUUGUAUCAACAAGGUUGUUCAAUCUUUGCACCCAGAUGUUGCAGUAAGUCUGGAUGCCACAUCAAACUGUUUGUGGUACUUCUAAACUUCGUGGAAGAACCCUGUUUCAUAAAUCUGAGACCGUCUUGGUCUGAGGGGGCAAAGACAGAGAAUUCAUGUGCUGCCCAGGCAUAGCAACGUAGCAGAUGGACAUCCCUGGACACUUUUCUGGUUUAAUGAAGCCAGCUGUCAUGUUCAUAGGACGCAUAUGUCAAGGAACUAAAGAUGGUCCAUAGCCAACAGCCAACCAGGAACUGAUUGACUAGUAGUCCUCGAGGAACUGAAUCUCACUAACAACCAUAUAAUGAACUUAAAAAUAGUGCUUCCUCAGUUGAACUUUCAGAUGAGACUGAAGUCCUAGUUAACACUUUGUUUGCUGCCUCGUAAGAUUGCGAAACAGAGGCCUGAGCUAAGCCAUGGCCAGAUUCUUGAUCCACAGAAACUGUGAGAUAAUAAAUGUGCAUUGAUUUAAGCCUCAAAUGUUGUGGUAAUGCUCUACAAAGCAAUGCGUAACUAAUGCAGUAUUCAACAAAUUUUUGGAAAAACUAUGACGCCUGAAGACAUGUAUUUAAUUAUUUUUGUGAAGAAUACUCAAUUUAUACUUACCGCACCUGGGUUUUUAGUCUUACCCCAAUCAUAAAGUAGUUUUAUGACCUGGCAAAAAUUUGUUUCUCUCCCUCUAGAGGUCACUUUCUUCAUCUGUUAAACUAGGCAAUUAAUUUAUGUGAUCUUUAAAAUGUCCACUAGAUUUCAUACAUCUAUCACAUAAGAUUUCAUGUAUAUGUAAUGAAAAUAAAUUAUAUAUAUGCAAAA